GUUGUUCUUGAAGACAAGGACAUGUAGACUUUUUUUUUUUUUUUUAAUCGGUACCAGGGAUCGAACUCACGGCCGCACACUUGCAAGGGAGGUGCUUAUGCCGCUGAGCUAAAUCCCCAGCCCCAACAUGUAGACUUUUAUAAGAAGGUUGUGCAACUCUAUCGACGUGCGUAAAGGAACGCGUGAUGGCUGCACGAAUGCGACCGUCCUGUUUCCCUGCUCCCUCUCUCUGCGUGCGCCAGAAGGCCCCUGUCGCCCCAGCCCGCUUCCAGCUGUGCCAGCUGCUUUGGGGCCGCUGCCCCUGGGGUUGCCCCAAGUGGGACGAGCAGGGCUCUGCGCCACCUAGCGGCAGAGGGGCCGGGAGUCGCGCGGCUCCUUUCUCAGAGCAGGGGACCUGCGGACCUAGUCCUGCCCCUCCUCCCCCCACUGGCUGCUCCAGGAGACCAGCGGUAACCCUCUGAGCUUCAGGGUGUACAGAGACUUCCGGGGGGCGUCCGUUUCCCGGUUCCCGAGGUACCCCCGACGACUGUAAGCUGGGUCGGACUCGUGGGCAUGCAGGAAGCGGCCCUCCCCCUACAUUUCAUGUCCUCCCUGCUGCCCCUCUCUGCCACAGAAGAGGCCAUUGAUCGGGAAGAGCAGCUGGACUGUGGUAGGGAAGCCGAGAGGACACGCGCGCUGGUGGGCACACACGCACAGACACGCAUGCUCACGUGCACACGGAGACACUCUGCCUUCCACCAGGCCCACCGUGCCAGGCAGAGCUCUUCCUCUCAGUGCUGGCUCCUCACCUAAGUUUUGCAAGCCUCCUGGGAAGAAUCACCAGAGGAGGGUUUAUUCCAGCCUCACCAGCUGGACAACCCCUCCACCGUGUCCCCACUGCUGCAGCCCCUGACCUCCUCUCCCCUGAUCUGAUCUUCCGUGGCACUUGGGGGCCCUGUUAAAUACCAGGCAAAACCAAUUCUGCCAGGAAGGCGGAGCUGCUGUGGCAGCAGCUACAGUGACAAAUGAUACGCAGGAGUGCAUGGCUGGCUGCCGUCCUGAGUGCGAGCUCAGCCGUCUGCCCUGGACGGCAGGAAGAAGUGUCCGAGACCCAGUGGGUGAGUGAGGAAAUCAGGCAGGAAUACUUCAGGCGCAUAUGUGCCUGCCAUGGUGUUCUGCCUCAGUGCAGGCCUAGAGACAGCUGGGAAAUGACCAUGGACUGAAGCCUCUGAAACUACCUCUGGAGGACUGAGCUUGGGGACCUGGCCCAGGGAGGGAGACAAUCUUCGUCACCUUGAUAGCGAGCCAGCCAUUGAGCAAACUCUUCUGCUGACCAAGCUCCAAGAAGUUGUGUGCACCCCAGGAGCAGAGACCCCGUGGCUUUUUGGUGGCAUUGGCAGGAGGGUGCUGGCUGCAAAGACAAGAGCUAAAUGAAUUCUUCAGGUUCCCGAGUCCUCGCUGGCUUUUGGCCCUGGUCCUUGGCCUGCCCUUCUCUGUCCUGUGCUGAGAGGGACAGCACCUGUGGCUGACGCCAAAUGAGGCUUGGAGAGGAUGGAGCCUGACCUGGAGUGGGGGCGAGGCACUGGGCCUGAGGACAGCUGGGGCUAUGCCCCCUUCUCUGAGUGGCAGCUACAACAUUGCAAAGGGAACUCCUACUUGCUUAGCCCUGGGGCCCAAGUGGAGUGAAGGAGAGGCUUCUCACUAUCCAGCCACCAUCUGCGGGAGGCCCCCACGUGAGCACCAGCUGAGUGUCUUCCUGAACUGUGGAUGAAGCAGCCCCAAAUGCCUGGCCACAUCCAUCUCAGCUACACAGGAGGCCUCAUGAUGUGAUGGGGCCCAGGGCCAGGAGAAGGGGAACAGAGUCGGGAGGUGGGGCUCCUGUCCUUUUCGCCGUGGGCAAACUGGAAGCAGAAGGAAGUUUGGGGAACUGCAGACCCCAAAGUUCUGGAAUACAGGGUGAGAGAGUCAGCAUCUUGGGGCGGCAGGCAACUCUCAGGUAUCCCACUGUUCACUGCAGCCUGAGUCCACCCCUUCCCCCCUGUGAGCCUGCAGAGCUUUCUCCGGCUUCUGUCAGUCUGUGACUCUCAGCACCCGUGAUUUGUCUUCUGGCCUUGGGGAGGUGGCUUAACCUCGGUGCCUCAGAGCGAGCACAACAAUAGUACCUGUCUAGUAGGGUUAUUAUGGGGAUUAAAUGAUUUAAAUACAAAGUGUACCGAAAGGCACCUGCCACGUAGGAAGUGCCACAUAAGUAUUAGUUAUUAUAAUAAGUAUUAUUACUCAUGCUAUUUAAAAGACCAUAGUAUGUUCUGAGACUGUAGGAUCCGGAGUCAAGCAGACUUGGGUUGGAGCGCUAGGUGUUUCCCUGAGAGGCUCAGUGACCUUGGGAAAGGGGCUCCACCUUCUGAGUCUCUGCAUGCUUCUCUGUGCCAUGGGGCUGAUGACUUUGGUCAAGACAGAUAAGAUGUGCCUAAUGGCUGUAAAGCACCUGGAUGACUUUGUCUUCUUGCUUGGACCACGGGUUUAGGGUGGUCUCUGUGGGAGCAAAUAGGACUCCCAAAAAAUGUGUGACCCUCAGGGUGACCAUACUGCACAGGAGAUUGCUCAGGCAGUGGGCUUGCUCUUGACUGGACUAUGUGAGGAAUCCUGGUCCUGCUGCUCAGCCCCCUGGGACCUGGGAGCAGGGAGGCAGCAGGUGAGGUGCAUUUCUCUUCCUGACUUCUUGGAUGAUGCAAGCUGUGUUCUUUCUCCCAGCCAGACCUCCUCCUGCCAUUCGCUUCCUUGGUCAGAAGCCUUCCAGGCUGGAUGUGACAAAGGAACAUGACUUCUGCUGUCCUCCUGGCACCCAUCCCUGUUCUUCCCUGGGACAAGGGAGGACAGGUCUCAGCACAGUCCUGUCCACUGCAGCGCUGUUAGUCCUGUUGGUGGUGAAUGAGGUGCCAUAAGGAUCUAGCCUGGUUUCUCCUAGUGUGCAGGCGGGAGGUGGGGAGAAUGCAGUUUUCUGCAGAGUUUUGGCUUUGAGAAGCCUAAACGUGAGUCUGGCCCAGAGUGGAAUAGCUGAGGACUCUCACAGGGCACAGCUCUCCUGUGCAGAGGCCUCCUCCUCCUGCCUCUGUCCCACUCACACUAACAGGACUCGGGCUUGCUGCAAACCCAAAGGAAUCCCCAUCAAAGGACACCGCAGUGCAGGUCUCUGGCUCUGGCUGAAAGCGGAGAGCUGAGCUGGUGAUCGCGUGGCAGUGGACCCGUGCUCUGCUCUCAGCUCCGCUGUCCAUGUGAGAGCUGUCUCAGCACAGGACAAGGUGGACUCCAGUUACAUGCUUCUGGGUCACCUCUGGCUUCAGGAUUUUAAGAAGAUGGUGGUACUUAGGGAGCCCCUGGGAAUUUCUUUUCUUUUUUUUUAAUUUUGAAACAAAUUUAAAAAAAGAUACAGAAUUUCAAACCAAGAUACUAGGAGGUUAACAGUGGUUAAUGUAUUACGUAUUGUUAUCUUAAAAGUAGUUGCUCAGAUUACAAAACAAAGACUGAAGACAUAAGAAAUUGAUCAAACAAUGUAAGUACAAA